ACCCUCAGCACCUGGAAGCCACUGGAACGAUGGGGUAGAAAAGAUCGCGAUCUCCACUUAGCACGGGGAUUGACCACAUCGGGGAAACGUGUUUCACGUCCGCGGGCACGUCUCCUGGGUUGUCGAGUAAAAUGCGCUUCUGGUGCCAGGGAUUUUCAAGAUGGAAAGCCUCUGCGGAGAGGUUGGCAGUAAGCCUAGAACUGGUAGGGAUAGAGCGCGGAAAGGGACAGGACUCCACAGGCGGAUUUGAAAGGGAGCAACAACUGAGCCAGAGGACAGCACUGCCAUAUGUCCGGUUGAGGUCUGCUGUUGUCACCACCUUACCCUAAACAAUUUGGUGGCAGAGGCCAGAGCAAAGGGCACUUCUGACAGCUUUGGGGACACCAAGAAACAGGCAUAAAACUCUGCAAACACUGAGUUUACUGUCUUUCUCACCAUUUCCAAGGGCCAUGGGUACCUCUGUGAAAAAGGAAGAGAGGUCCACAUCACCCAUAAUGCCUGAACUGAAAAGUAGGAAUACAAGCAUUUAUUUUUAUAGAGGUGAGCCAAAGAACCUAGAAGGAAGAAGGAAAAAUUUUCUUCCCCUGCACAUGGCACUUGAAGCCCUAAGUCAUGUGGCUCCUGCUUGCCUUCAGUGUCCUCUCCAGACCUUCUCUGCUUUUCCUCUUUAUGCCUGGCUUUCUCCCAUUUAACCAUCAGGACUCACUACAGGCUCCACUUUCUUGGGGGGAAGCAAGUCUUUUCUGACCCCAACAGGUACAGGUAAGUGCCUAUCUUUUGGGCUCCUAUAUCACCCUACGUGUAUCUUUAUUAUGAUGCUUACCCACGUUGUAUUACACAUUCUAUCAUAUGUCUGCUCCUGCCAUUCCUCCACUAAAACACUGUAUUUGAGUCAUCUUUGUAUCCCUAACACUUAGCACAGUGCCUGGCCUCUAAUAGGUAACCAAGAACAUUUGUUGAACUGCAUCAAGAAAUCUAUAAGAUGGUACGCUGCUGAUUGAUUUUGUCUAAAUAGAAGAGGAUCCCAUGUAUCAUAUAUAUAUAAAUGAUUAUAACACUAUUUUGUGCGCUCUCCCCUGCCCCAUUCAUCCGUAUAUACUCCUGGAAAUACUGCUGAGGUAAAGGGUUGGUGGAGAAGGAGGUACAAGGAAAGCUGGGAUCGAUGGGAACAGAGCUUUCUUAUUCACAGUUACGACCACCACCACUCCAGGCUGUAAAAAGUCUAGGUGACAAACAACUUCCAGAGAACGUACACAUACACCAACACGCAAAUGUUGGGCCACAUCCAAGCCUCUGAGGUCAGGGCAUUAGGCAAGGUGAAUUUCAGGAGAUUCCUUGACUGCCGAGUUCCUGGCACAGACUCAUUCUCACUGAGACGCUAGAGUAGCAAGCGGAGUCUGGACAGGGGGUGGGAGCAGGUGUGGAAAAGGGAGUGAGGAAAAGGUUGGGGGCGGGGGCUGGGAGGCCAAGAGGGGAGGGGCCCAGCCUGCGAUUCCUGAUGCCUCCUGCAUGUGUUCACCUGGCA